rnacentral:rRNA from 1 species
CGGGGUGAGUAAUGUAUGGGGAUCUGCCUGAUGGCGGGGGAUAACUACUGGAAACGGUAGCUAAUACCGCAUAAUGUCUGCGGACCAAAGCGGGGGACCUCCGGGCCUCGCGCCAUCAGAUGAACCCAUAUGGGAUUAGCUAGUAGGUAAGGUAACGGCUUACCUAGGCGACGAUCCCUAGCUGGUCUGAGAGGAUGAUCAGCCACACUGGGACUGAGACACGGCCAG